CCCCCGCCGGGCUCCGUCCCGGGCCGGGCUCCCGCUCCGCUCCGCCUCCCUGCCCGGCUCUGUGCCCCGGGAAAGGGGAGCUCACCGCUCGCAGGUGCCUCCGCAGCGCUGCCCGAGGCAGUCGAGACCUGCUGGGGAAGAGAAGCAGCGCUGCCCCAGCCCAGGACACCACUGUGGAAACUGCGAUGGGAACAGACAAUCAAGCAGAAGAUGAAAAGUUUCAUAGCAAGGAGACGAGCAGCCCGUUCCGCACACCCGGCACUGGGCUGUGAAAUGAGCGGUUCUUGCUCCAGAAGGAACAGAUGCCUUGGUUGAAAAGAGGGUGACAACAAAGGUCCAGGAAAAAGCAAGACAGAGAAGAUGAAUAUCAUCUCACAAUGUAACAACUAAUGUCAUUUGAUGAAAAAUUCAGAUUUAAAAUAAAUUUAAAUACCUUUUCCUCACAUUGAGCAUGGUUAAUUAAACAUGGUACCCGUGGCCAUUACCACAGAAUAUUGUUUGGAAAGGAAACAGGCAAAUCCACACAGAGCUGCUCCUCUUCUGCAGCAAUUGAACACGGUGGUCCAAAUAAAACAUCUCCACUCCUCAAAUCAGUGAUUCUUGAAAACCAGGGAAGAGGUUCUCUUCCAGAAGAGAAAUUAUGCAAUAUGGUGAGAAACAGAAAAUAUCCCGUUUGGUGCAGAAACCAUCUCAAAGUGCAGCUGUUAAAUAGGGUAAGAAUGCAGGGAUUAAAAACAACAGUAAAGACAAAUAAUCUUCCCUUGUGCAACAGACUGGUGUAAGGAGAGAGAUUAAGGAAAUAUUUCUCUAGAUUUUCAAACUAUAUUUCCAAUUUCAAAUGAUUGCAUUCAUCAGCACCGCUGCAGGAAUAUCCCUCAGUAAGCACAAUUACUGCAGCACAGAGAUAGCAAUAAUCCUAUCAACAAGACAACGAGUUAAUUGGCAGGAGCUAAUAGACUAUGAUAGGAAAAUGUGCAAUCAAUUACAGACUAUUUGACUUGCACCCCGUGUGAUAAGACUGUUGAACACAACAAUAACCCGAAAAUGAAAACAAAUGUUCACUGUAAACAUAAGCAGCGAGGGGAGAUGUUAAAUCUACAAGUGCAAAAGCAAGCUGGAAAAUCCCGAGCAAAGCAUAUUUAAAGUAAAGCAUCACUUUACACAUAUUCUGGAGUGAACUAAGAAAAACUCCAUAUGGUUCUGGGAGAUGUUACUUGAAAGACUGAUUUUUUUUUUUUUAAUUUUUCUUACAGAAAAUAGAGAAAAAACCAACAAUGCCAUAAAGGAUCAGUUAAGACUACAGAAAAUAAAAUAUACUUUCAAUACAUAUUUUUGAAAUGGUAGAAGGCAAAGAAAUUGAGAGGGACUUGAACUGACCCAUUAAAUGCAAUGAAAAAUUUAAAGGGAAAAAUGCUAAGGACGAAAACUCAGUCUCUAAGAUUUUGAGUGUAAUUGUAACCGAGGCAAGGGGAAGAAUAGGGACAGUCAGAAACAAAGCUUUACCAAACAGGUCUGCAAGAAACAAAUAAGAGAAAUGGGAAAAAUCUUUAAAAAAAAACUUUUUUUAAAGAUCUUUAAAAAAAAUAUAUUAAAAAGGAACAAACCUAGGUAAUAUACAUGCUGUAGUAACAGGAAAACAACUUCAUCCAGAGAUCUACCAAGAUAACAACAUUUUAAAUUAUUUGGAUAGAUACACACACACAUAUGAAGAAGGAGAACGCCAGGUAAGAGCUGUUGAAGCAGUGUGUGCCACCUGGAAUCAUGCAAGCUGAACCCCCCCGGGCAGCUGCAGAGCACCUUCCAGUGCCACAAGUGUUGGCAAGUGGCAGCACUGAUGCUGGCACCUGUCCCACAGCAUCCCUCUCAUGCCAACCCCCCGGAUGGCACCAGGUGGUACUCCGUGGGUGGCAUCCCCUGGAAAGGGUGUGAAGUGAGAGGCUGCCUGCUCAGUAAACUCCUCUGAGCACAGGGCUGGUGAUGGCAGCAGCCAAACUCCCCCCAGCCCCAUCCCAGGCUGGCUGUCACCCACCGCUUAUGGGGACAGUCCCUGCUGGAGCAAAGGCUCCGGAGCAGGUCCUGCAGCAGCCUCCAGAUGCAGGCAAGCUGCCAAGCACUGAGCAGCUGUGCCAGCUGUGCAGCUGGGGCACAGCUGGCUUAAACACAUCUCCCCAACACCCAUUUUGGAGAAGAGCGAGAGCUCUGGACCAGGGGGGUCACUGUCAGAGUGCCUUACACCUCAGGCAGGAAAAGAGCUGGAAAAUCCUAAAGGCUAUGGAUCCAUGCUGCGUUUCGCUCCUAUCUUUGUCUUUACCUUAGAACAUUUGCCAAGAUUUCUGCCUGCAGCUUGAUCCCAGUCUUCCAGCAGCAGCUGUGGCUGUGCUAGCAGGGAAGUGCUUACAGCCCAAAGAAAGCAAAAGUGGAACAAAAGCCUCUAGAGAUAAAAUGGUCCUUUGACUUUGUCUGGGACAGAUGUGCAUGAGAACUGGCCUCAGCCCACCCCAGGACUGCUGACACUUCAUGCUCUGGUAACAACUACAGAACCUACUCCCAGCUCUGGUCUUGCUUCACAUUUGUGUCCAGCUGGGCAGGGAUUGUGUUGGAAGUGUUGGAUUUCUCUCCUCCAAAGCACCAAACCACCCCCAGCCACCUGGAAAGGUAGUUCAAACCUAAAAAGAGAAGGGUUUCAAAAAGCACCUACUGAGAGGAAUGAGGAGGAGAAAAGAGGAGAGGGAAAUGUUUACAGGGAGACAAGCACAACCUCUUACUGCUGUGCAAGCAGCAGCUACUUUAAAAUGAAUUAUGGCCCAAACCACCAAAGUCUUUUCAGGAGAGUGGCCUGGGCACAACUGCUGCUGCUUCACAUUCCCAACACGGAAAACCAUCAGCCACAUCUGGCCUUUGCUGAGCACUGAGAGCAUCCGUGGCCCCCUCUGCUCCUCUGUCACUCAGGACAAACUGCCUGUCGUCUGUCCUCAGGACAAACUGCCUCCACGUGUGUUGAGGCAGUGCAAUCUUGUGAGCCACUUCCAGGAACACCAUUGGCCAUUUUAUCAUCUGGGAACCAAAGGCCAGAGCAAACACAAUGCAUUUCCUCCAUCUGAUAACCACCCUGCUACUGGCCUGUUCAGCCUGAAAAAUGUUGUUUAGCUUAAAGCAACCAUAGCUGUAGUGAGCAAAAUGGUCACAAAUAUGCACAGAAGGAGGAUAAUUAGAGGCUGACACUGGCUGGCACGUUACAGGAACUGCUCAGCAGAGAAAGAACCCAAUGUAAGCACAAAGGAUUGACUCCUGCUGGAGCCACCAAACUCUGUCCCAGAUAGGCACACACAUUUUGAAACUACAGUCGCAGAAGCAAAAAUCCAGGCCUGCAGUUCCUGCAUGACAGAAGAUCCUGCAGCAGGCUUUCAAACCAGAGACAGCCUCCCUAGUGAAUAACUGCUUCCAAAAAUGGCUUGAAGAACCAGAAUCCUGGGCUGGGAGAACCCUGUCCUCACAGGACAGCUGCAGAGCAGCAGAGGCCUCACUUCUGUGCCCAGGUUUGUGUGGGAGAUCGUCUGUGUGGACACUGUGCUCUGGAGAUACACAGGUGACAUUUCUGCAUGAGCCAGAGCUCAGGGACUGCUCAGAGCGUGGGCGGGCCUGCUCAGAGUGCUGGAAAACCUGCUCCUGGGGAUGUCACUGCCACAGCCCCUGCUCCUCUGCGGGCAGGAGCCAGGGGCAGUGCUUACAGUGCUUGGUGUGUGGGUGACAGUGUGCUGGUUUGUCCCUCUCUAUGACCAGGGCAGAGGAGGAGACAAAAGAACAGUGCCCCUAGACAUGCUCUGGGUGCUACAGGAAUUCCCAGCAGCAGCAGAGCUGCAGAUUCCUGUCACCACUCCCCUGGCUGUGCCCAGUGCCAGCAGUUUCCCCCAGAGCAGGGUGAAAGCAGCAGGUGCUCCUUGGGGGUGCACUUGGCUGUCAGGAGCACCAACCCCAGGACUAAAGCAGGAACACACAGUUCUGCAUGCACAGUCACAGUGCAGCAGGAGCGCAGCAGGCAGAUGUGCAUCUCACCUCUGCUUUGACUGCCUAGUACUCUGUCCCCAUUAAACACUGGCCCUUUGCACACGUGAGCAAGGAAAGGGGCUUUUCUGCUCAGAAUUAAAAAGUUUCCUAAUUUCUUUACAGGCAAAAUGAAAGCACUGCAAGGUUGUGUCCUGAGAAGCACAUAAGUAUAGAUAUCUGUAUGUGUAUUUAUAAAAAAAUAAAACACAAUGUACUAUAAGCAGGAGCUGAGUAGCAAGCAAAGACUCCUGAGCCUGAAGACUUCAUUUUUUUUAGCAUCUCCUUCUACUUUCCCCUCAACUCCAUCAGGUACCACCAGUUCUCAGGCCUCUUUUCUAUUCCCACUUUACCAGCAACCUGAACAAACCCUUGCAGAGGAACGGUGGGAACAGAGCCUGAACACAUUUUAGGGAGAGGGCAGAAGUCACUGCUCUUCCAGAAUCUAGUCAUGGGCUUCCUGAUGUGGAAGUUGAUGGUUGCAUCAAGAAUUUAAAACUCACCAGUUUGAAGUUGCAGCCAAGGAAACAAGUGGAGGGCGUUUUCAUAUCAAGAACCAUUUCCCAAAGGAAAUCACAAUUCCAGCAGUGGUGUGAGAGGCACAGGAUGAGCAGAUUGAUUAGGGACAGGGUCGACUGAGGGAUAGAAAGGGAGCUGUAUACUGGAACCACUUAUGGUCUUUCCUUAGGCUCUGCACUUCCUACCCCUUUGAGGUGAAGAUGUCAGUCUGAAAGCACCUGCCUGCAGGAAGAACAGCAUCAAAGCCACUGACAGGGCAGGGAUUUGCAUGUCCCUGCAUCCUUUCUGUCUGCAAGGGGGAUGUUCUGGCAGGAAAAAGGAAAAGCUCUUCUCAGAGGUUAGACAGGGCUGUACUUUACUGGUUCCUGAGAGAAAGCCCAUAAUCUGCUUUUAAACAAGCAAGAUUUGGGCAGUGAUCUCAGAGCAUCUAUUCAUACUUACUUGAACACUCUAAAAAGUAAAGGAAAAAAAGGAUACUUGGUAAUUCACGACUACUGGGCUGGUAACUACCCAGAACACAAAGUUUCCAUUCAGGGAGCAAUCCAACACUCAGCUAGUCAUUGGCUGACAGAGUGAGAGGUCUUCAGAAAUUUCUCAAAAACCAAGUUUUCUAAGCAAAAGUUGACAAAGUGAAAACUUGGGCAUUCAAAAAAUGGUCAAAAAGAAAUAAAAUUUGAGUUCAGUUUUUUCAGCUUCCAAAAAUCAGAAUUACAGCAGAUUUUUUAAAAAAACCUUGCACUGCCAGAAGAUGUUCUCUCUAAAAACACCACAGCCCUUGUCUGAGCACAAGGACUGAGUGAGAGCCACCAGCUCCUGGCCACUGCUCAGCAGCAGCAGUUUGUCUCUUGUUUUGCACCUCUGGUCACCAGUGGAGGAGGAAGCAGAGGUAGCUGUGCUGCAAGGCUUCUCCUCUAACCUGCCCUGCCGAGGUCCCUGCAGGCAGGGAAAAGGGGCUGCACUGCCCAGCACUCAUCCCCUGCGCCGGC